CGUUACACGGGGCGAAGCUGGUAUAAAACCACGUCGAUCCCAGUGGUUGUGCGGAGCACUUAGGUCGAACACAGCUCGAACUUAGGUCGAUAACGCAAGUGUGGAAUCGACCUAUGACAGCCCUUCAGGUACUCUCAGUUGUUUCCUGUCCAAGCUAAACAUACCCAGCUUCUUCCUUCUACAACAUGCUCUCCAGUCUCCUCACCAUCUUCACUGCCCUCCUUUGGACAUAUUCCAAUUGAUCCGAACCUCCUUAAACUGUGGAGCCCAAAACAACAGAAUAUUCCAGGUGAGGUCUAACCAGAACAGAGUAAAGCAAUACUAUCCCUUUGCAUGAUCUGGAUACUAUACUUCUGUUGAUACAGUUCAAAAAUCACAUUUGCCUUUUUAGCUGCUGCAUCAUAUUGACAACUCAUGUUCAAUGCAUAGUCUACUAAGACCCUUAGGUCCUUUUUGCAUAUACUACUGCCACAAAAUCUCCCCCAUCCAAUAAUUAUGCAUUUGAUGUUUCCUGCUGAAAUUCAGAACUUUGCAUUUAUCUCUGUUGAAAUUUAUUGUAUGUAUUGUUGAAGGCUUUCACGGCCGGUAUCAAUUGGCUAUUGUGGGUUUCUUGGGCUGUGUGAUUGUGAUCUAGUAGUUUUUCCUCCUACAAAAGAGAAACACAUCUCACCGUGAAAUCCCUGUGAAGCUGCCAGUCACAGAUGCAGGUAAAGCAUUAGGAGCAGAAACUUCUAGACUGGCAGCCACGCAGAUCAGAAAACCCACAACACCCAGAAAUUCAUUUUAUUUGUGUUAGCCCAGCCUGUCAAGAUCAUCCUGUAUCCUGAUUCCUUCUUCUAUCAUAUUUGUUACCUCUCCCAAUUUAGUAUUGUCUACAAAUUUAAUAAGAUUCCCAUCUAUUCCUUCAUCCAAAUCAUUUAUGCAGAUGUAUAGGCCCCAGGACAGAUCCCUGACGCACUCAUCAUUCCUCUCCAAGAGGAUGAGGAGCCAUUAAGAAGUGAUCCUUGAUCACUGAUCUUAUAUCUAAUAAGUAUAGCCUCAUCUGAAGUUACCUGCCACCUAGAAUGUCUGGGAUCUCAGAUAUCUGGGGUUGCAGACCCCUGCAUUAGAAUAACCAUUCUAAUGCAGCCUUCACAAUUGCAGGGCAGAUUGUCAUGGGGAGUGGAUUUACAGAAUGGAUUACAGCAGAAAAUUGGGGAUUGUUUGUGAAUCUGUGAAUGUAUGAGGAUCUCAUAAGAGAUGUGAAUAAGCAGUCAGUGAUUCUGAUGAAGUGCAGUUUGAUAAGACACACAAAACAAGCAUUUACAUCUGGAGGCUCGUAAACAAGAAAAGACAUUAAGAAUUGUGUGUAUAUAUUUAUUAGGGACUGCUGUACAGGAUUUCAAACAAUUAUUUGUGAAGACUACAUUAUAUUAUACAUUGUAUGUCAUACAUUGUAUAUCGCUUAUUGCUGGAGAUAGUGUCAUUUAGUAUAUGAAAGCAUCUUUUUGUAUUACUGGUAUGGAUUUUGUAUAAUUCAAGAUAGCCUGAUUACAGCAUCUGUAGUAUUUGUUGGCUUUGUGUUCUGUAAUCCCUCUUUUUUUGUGUGUGCGGUUACAUCAGAAUAACCAUUCCACAUUAGACCAUCGUGCCACACUUAAUCCCUUUCAGACAAAAGACAGUCGGGUUUGGGACAAACCACAUAUCUGUCAUGGAGGAUCAGAGCCAUUACCGGAUUCUUGAUGCAGUGGAUCUAUAUUUUGUAAGUCUCCAGUUGAUGACAGUAGCCCCUAACAUCAGAAAUGGUACUUCGCAUGGGAUUCACUAAAUUCUUAGAGAAGACGCAGACUUAAGUCCAAGUCCAUUGGCCAUAAAUAUCUUUUGGAACUUUCCCUAGCAUUCAGUUUUUAGUCUUCGGCCAGAAUUGGGGGUCCCUAGGAGGUUGAGUAGGAGUUAAGGAUUCUUCCAAGAUCUUGUUACUGCAAGGAACUCUGCAUAUGCUCUGAUGAACUUGCUAUAGCCUAGGUAAUGUGUACUUAGCUGAGUUAGUCCAAAUUUAUUGCUUCAUAUUUGAAAAUCACAGUGCUGAGUGUUGUAUGCCUUCCUUGUGCUUGGCUUUUGCUUUUUUUUCUUACCACUUCGCUUGAAUCCAACCAUCCUCUUCUAUAAUAAACCUUUUUAUACAGAC